UACGUAGGGGGCAAGCGUUGUCCGGAAUUAUUGGGCGUAAAGAGCGUGUAGGCGGCCAGAUAAGUCCGCUGUGAAAUCUCGAGGCUCAACUUCGAGCUGUCGGUGGAAACUGUCUGGCUAGAGUCCGGAAGAGGAGAUUGGAAUUCCUGGUGUAGCGGUGGAAUGCGCAGAUAUCAGGAGGAACACCAAUGGCGAAGGCAGAUCUCUGGGCCGUAACUGACGCUGAGGAGCGAAAGCAUGGGGAGCGAACAGG
rnacentral:rRNA from 1 species